rnacentral:rRNA from 1 species
UACGGAGGGGGCUAGCGUUGUUCGGAAUUACUGGGCGUAAAGCGCACGUAGGCGGAUUGGAAAGUUGGGGGUGAAAUCCCGGGGCUCAACCCCGGAACUGCCUUCAAAACUCCCAGUCUGGAGGUCGAGAGAGGUGAGUGGAAUUCCGAGUGUAGAGGUGAAAUUCGUAGACAUUCGGAGGAACACCAGUGGCGAAGGCGGCUCACUGGCUCGAUACUGACGCUGAGGUGCGAAAGCGUGGGGAGCAAACAGG